GCCUCCGCUGUCGGACACAUUCGGACUCUGAAGCAGGCAGAGAAUUGGACGGUGAUUCCAGAGGAUACAGAAGCGCCGAGGAGCAGGCGCGCGAAUUGACGCGGAGCAUUCGCCGCGAAGUGAAUAAACUUUCGGAGCAGUGGAACGCUUUAAUCGAACGUAGCGAUGCGUGGAAGCGGAAACUCGACGACACCUCUAAC